CGAUUCUGAUAUGUGUCAAUUGAAAGUAGACAGACACAAUGCACAGUUGUCCAUGUGCAUAUACAGUUAAUUGCAGCAGCCUCAUUUAUCAUAGGAUAUGCUAAAAUAUGUCAGAGAAUUACUGCACGUGUUUCUUUCACUGAAUUCAAACAUUUAAAACGUGCUAAGAAUGCCUUUACUGCUUCUUACAAUUAAAAGUUUGAAAGAGUCAGAAAGAGGAGCAAGAGAUUGUUUUUGGAUUCGGAAAGACGAAGCAGACCGGAAUAUAAUUGGAAUGAAUAAAUAUGACCCUCCACUGGCUUCUGGACCGAAGUAGAAGACCGAAGACUGGGUGCAGACGAGCUGAGCUGACCCACAGAGGGCACGAAAGAAGAUAGGGCUACACAAAACACACUGUCUCUGGCUUGUUUAUUGUUGGCCUACCCAGGGGGAUGGGCUGACCUUGAAACCCUAGAGAUACUUUUUACUUGUCCAUGAUAUUUCCUACUAUUAUAUAAAGAUUCAGCUAUGUGGAACAUAUAGUAUUGACCCUGUAAUGGCCUUAAGCUACGCAAGAUGCUGUAUAAUUUAUCAUUACUUAACUAUUUACAGUUCAUUACAGUUCACCAAAUAAAUCUUUUAAUAUUUCAAAAUUA